AUUGAACGCUGGCGGCAGGCCUAACACAUGCAAGUCGAACGAGUGGCGGACGGGUGAGUAAUGUCUGGGAAACUGCCCGAUGGAGGGGGAUAACUACUGGAAACGGUAGCUAAUACCGCAUACCAUCGGAGGUGCACAGAUGGGCUUAGCUAGUAGGUGGGGUAACGGCUCACCUAGGCGACGAUCCCUAGCUGGCCUGGGAGGAGGACCAGCAACAGUGGAACUGAGACACGGCCAAGAUUCUUACGGGAGGCAGCAGGGGGGAAUAUUGCACAAUGGGCGCAAGCCGGAUGCAGCCAUGCCGCGUGUAGGAAGAAGGCCUUCGGGUUGUAAAGUACUUUCAGCGAGGAGGCGUUACUCGCAGAAGAAGCACCGGCUAACUCCGUGCCAGCAGCCGCGGUAAUAC
rnacentral:rRNA from 1 species